UACGAAGGGUGCAAGCGUUACUCGGAAUUACUGGGCGUAAAGCGUGCGUAGGUGGUCGUUUAAGUCCGUUGUGAAAGCCCUGGGCUCAACCUGGGAACUGCAGUGGAUACUGGGCGACUAGAGUGUGGUAGAGGGUAGCGGAAUUCCUGGUGUAGCAGUGAAAUGCGCAGAGAUCAGGAGGAACAUCCAUGGCGAAGGCAGCUACCUGGACCAACACUGACACUGAGGCACGAAAGCGUGGGGAGCAAACAGG
rnacentral:rRNA from 1 species